rnacentral:rRNA from 1 species
AGGGUUUUGAUCAUGGCUCAGAACGAACGCUGGCGGCAGGCUUAACACAUGCAAGUCGCAGGGGAAGCCGACCUUCGGGUUGGUGGAGACUGGCGCACGGGUGAGUAACGCGUGGGAAUUUGCCCUGGGGUGGGGGAUAACCGCUGGAAACGGCGGCUAAUACCGCAUACGCCUUGAGAGGGAAAGCUUUCGAGUGCCCUGGGAGGAGCCCGCGUCCGAUUAGCUUGUUGGUGGGGUAAAGGCCUACCAAGGCUUCGAUCGGUAGCUGGUCUGAGAGGAUGAUCAGCCACACUGGGACUGAGACACGGCCCAGACUCCUACGGGAGGCAGCAGUGGGGAAUAUUGGACAAUGGGCGCAAGCCUGAUCCAGCCAUGCCGCGUGAGUGAAGAAGGCCUUAGGGUUGUAAAGCUCUUUCACCCGUGAAGAUGAUGACGGUAGCGGGAGAAGAAGCCCCGGCUAACUCCGUGCCAGCNAGCCGCGGUUAAUUCGGAGGGGGCGAGCGUUGUUCGGAAUUACUGGGCGUAAAGGGCGCGUAGGCGGGCUGGCAAGUCAGGGGGUGAAAGUCCUGGGCUCAACCUUGGGGAACUGCCUUUUGAAAACUUGCUGGGUCUAGAGUCCCGGGAAAGGNAUGGGCGGAANUUCCCAGUGGUAGAGGUGAAAUUCCGUUAGAUAUUNGGGAAGAACACCGGGUGGC